GGACUAAUUUAAAAAUUGUUGCUUUCCAAUUUUGCUAAAAUGUUUUGUUGAAUAUCUAUUUAAUGUUUCCUUAGAGCCUAUUAGUGCUCUCAUUAAUAACAAAGUAUAAAAUAUUGUUUGCAUGAAGACAUUCAAUUUUUUUGCUAGUAUUGUACAGUGUUUUUGACUAUUUUGCUAUAAUAGCUUUAACUGAGCAUUUCCUACUUAUAUUUUUUUCCAGUGGCAAUUUUAAAACUGCUCGUGAAAACAUAUUAAGCAGAACACAUUACAGAUUAUGUUAACAAAAUACAUUUUACAUUUUUUAUACUCUUACUUGGGUAUCUAUCACAUGUAUUAGAACAUUUUUAAUGUUGAAAACAUUUUUAAUUGUGAAAUUAUAACAAUAUGGAGGAAUGAUUGGAAGUAAUAAUUUAGAAUGGAAAGAAAAUAAAAGAUCAAGGGCACUCUAGAUAUUAACUAUUUUAAAAGGAAAUAAAUACUGUUAGAAUAAUACAAAUUUGAAGCUAUAGUAAUUCUGUUACUCUGUAUCUGCAUUUAAAUGUGCUAAACAGACCUAAGAAAAUUAAAACCUUGUGAAAUUGGUAUUUGAAUGCAAGAAAAUGUGAAGCUGAGUGUUGUCUAUGUGUUAUUAGAAAUGAAGUCUGAAGUCUUGCAAUCUUCCCUGGAGGGUUAUUGAAUGAAAAAGAGUGAUAAGAGAGAACUUGGCAUGACCCCUGCAGUUAAAAAAAAAACAACAAAAAACAACUAAGAGUACUUCAUUUCAUGAAUCUGUAUAAUGCACUGAAGAGACUCAAAAUGACUUGCCGUACACAGAAGAAGAGUUCGGUAAGAACCUGUGGUGGAGUCACUCUCCUUUCUCCUUCAGCCAGGAGUGCAUGACCAAGUGCCCAGUGGGAAUGGGUUCCAGAAAAACACCCCCUCUACUUCCACAUUUCCUUCCAUUGGACAUGUUUGGCAGAAUUUGCUAUUCUUCUCUAGCCAUUUGAAUGUUUAGAACCUACUGUGUUGUGACAAUGGUAACAAUAUUUGACACAAAUUGAUGAAAAUGUGUCAUGCCUCUAUUUUGAAAUGCUUGAUAAAUAAAGAGGAG
rnacentral:lncRNA from 1 species